rnacentral:rRNA from 1 species
CCUACGGGUGGCAGCAGUGAGGAAUAUUGGUCAAUGGCCGGAAGGCUGAACCAGCCAUGCCGCGUGAAGGGCAGUGACCUAUGGGCGUUAAACUUCUUUUGUGCGGGAGCAAGAAUGGUCACGUGGGGCCAGACGAGAGUACCGUACGAAUAAGCAGCGGCGAACUCCGGGCCAGCAGCCGCGGUAAGACGGGGGAUGCAAGCGUUAUCCGGAUUUAUUGGGUUUAAAGGGGGCGGAGGCUGUGAGGUAAGUCAGCGGUGAAAUGCCCCCGCUCAACGGGGUGAAGUGCCAUUGAUACUGCCUUGCUGGACUGCGGAUGCCGUGGGCGGAAUGUGUGGUGUAGCCGU